AGUCUCUUUUGGAGAGCUGUGAACGUGACCAGACCUAUUAAUUACUUAACUGAGGUGCUGAACUUUGAAAAUGAAAGUUCCGGUGGGGAGUUCUGUCCUUUCCAGCCUGGGGAGCUCUGUCAGGGCUCUCCUGAGCGUCUCUUUCAGCUUAUCAAGCUCGCUCGGGGACCGUCUCUGGUGAUGUAGGGAGAAGGUGGAGCCAACACUCAGCCCACUGCCCAUCAGCAGUAAGGCCAAAGGAAGAGGAAAUUCCUCACCUAUUAACAUGGACAAUGAGACCAUGGGGAGGACAGUUCAAGGGUCUUCUGGCUUUGCAAAGGGUCAGAUCUGGAUCACCGAAUACAUGUUGGAAGAUGGAAUACUGCUUUCCUGUUAAGUCCAUGUAUAUGGCUCUCAUGCACCAUUCCUGACAAGGGCAGACCAGUUUUUCUUCAGCUACCACAGUUUCCACCUGAGUGGAUUCUUCAUAGUUGUACUGGAAGAAAUCUUGAAGAGCAUUGAGUUCAGGGUUCCCUUCUGCCCCACUAUCAGACUGGGGUUCCUAGAUAAACUUGCCCCUCUCCAAAUUUUCAUCUCAGAGAAUGGCCAUUUCAUGCUUCUAGUUGUUUAGGCCCCAAACCGUAUUUUUCUAAUGCACCAUAUGAUAUGGUUUGGAUUUGUGUCCCUGCCCAAAUCUUAUGUCAUAUCAUAAUCACCAGUGUUGGAGGAGGGGCCUGGUAGAAGGUGACUUGGAUCAUGGGGGCGGACGUCCCCCUUGCUGUUCUCGUGAUAGCGAGUUCUCAUGAGAUCUGUUUUUUUGUUGUUGUUGUUGUUUGUUUUGUUUUGUUUUGUUUUGAGACAAGGUCUCACUCUGUCAUCCAGGCUGAAGUGCAGUGUGGUGUGAUAGCUCAUUGCAACCUCAACCUCCUUGGCUCAAGUGAUCCUCCCACCUCAGCCUCCCAAGUAGCUGGGACCGCAGGCAUCUGCCACCAUGCCUGGCUAACUUAUUUUUGCAUCUUUUUUUUUUUUUUUUUUUUUUUCGUAGAGAUGAGUUUUGCCAUGUUGCCAGACUGAGAUCUGGUUGUUUAAAAGUGUGUAGCACCUCCUCCUUUUCCCCUUCCCCCUCCUCCCAGCAUGUAAGACGUGCCUACUUCCUCUUCACCUUCCAGCACAACUGUAAGUUUUCUGAGGUCUCCCUAGCCAUGCUUCCUGUGUAGCCUGCAGAACUGUGAGUCAAUUAAACCUCUUUUCUUUAUAAAUUACCCAGGCUUAGGUAGUUCUUUACAGCAAUGUGAGAAUGAACUAAUACACCAUAUCUAAUCCAACAGCACAUCCUGUUGGAUCUACUUUCAGAAUAGAUUCAGAAUCCAACAACUUCUUACCUCUGCCACUGCAAUAAUCUCUUACAUGGAGGUCCCAGUGGGUGAAUGGGAACUGAAACCCAACCCUGCUCCACUGGCUGAGCUGUGUACCUUUCUCCAAGGCUGCACCCACCUGGAAGAAGGGGCACCCUUUUCUAUAUAUACCAAGAUGCCCUCUACAGGCAUCUAGCAACUUCCCAGUAGUUCGUGUUACCUCUCUGCUCAAAACCCUCUCACUCAGAAGAAACGCCAAAAUCUCACAAUGGCAGCACUAUGGAACUUGGCCCAGGUACCUCUGUGAUGCCAUGUCCUUCAGCCACACUGGCCUCCGGCGAGCUCCGCCUUUACACUCACUAUUCCUUUUACCUAAAUUGGCUAACUUUCCCACAUCCUUCCAGUUUCUUCACAGGGGGCCCUUCCCUGGAUUGUAGCACCCCAACCCUGGUGUGUCCAUCUCUUUGGCCCUCCAUAGCCACAUCCUCAUCUACUGUGCCUAAAAUUGUGUCCCCUAAAAGUUAUAUUCAAGACUUAACGCCUAAGACCUGUGGAUGUGACCUUGUUUGGAAAUAAGGUGUUUCCAGAUAGAAUCAAGAUGAGGUCAUACAAUCAAGAUGAAUCAAGAUGGAUUCAGGUGGGCCUAAUCCAAGGACUGGCAUCCUGAUCUGGAGGCUGGGAUGUCCAAGGCACUUGUGGGUUUGGUGUCUAACAGGAGCUCGGUCUUUGUUUCCAAGAUGAUGCCUCGUUGCUACCAGAGAGGAUGGAUGCUGUGUCUUACGUGGUGGAAGGGGCAAAAGGGUAAAAAUGGGCCUGGCUGGUUCCCUCCAGCCCUUUGUAAGACACUAAUCCCAUUCAUGAGGGCUCCAACCUCAUGACGGAACCACCUCCUAAAGGCCCCACUUCUGUGACUACUGCCAGGUUGGUGAUUACGUUUCAACAUAGGAAUUUUGGGGGACACAUUUAAACUGUAGCAGCAAGGAGCACAAAGGAUUGCAGAAUCCACCAGAAAUGGAGAAGGAGAAAGACCUGGAACAAAUUCUCCCUCAGAUCCUUCAGAAGGAAUCCACCCUGCUGACACCUUGAUCUUAGACUUCUGGCCACCGUAACUGUGAGACAAUACAUUUCUGUUGUUUUAAGCCACCAAGUUUGUGGUUCUUUGUUAUAUUAGCCCUAGAGGAAACAAUUACCCCGUCCACCAUACAAUAUGUUACUUAUUAAUUUGCUUAGGGUCUGCCUCCCCAUUAGGAGGGAGAGGAUUCUGUCUGUGUUUAUUGCCACGUCUCCUGUGGCUGGCAUGGGGCCUGGCACAGAGUAGAUGCCACAAAUACUUCCUGGAAAAAUGAAUAAAAGUUCACUCAGCUGAACCUGGUAUGUGGGUCUCCCAGCACCUCCUGUGGCCAUUUCUGAUGCAUCCUCCGCCACUCCCACCUGCAGCGGGUGACUGACUCUUCAGUGACAGAGGAGCUGCACACAGGUGGCGAAACGCAUCUCAUGUGGACGUCUGAACCUAGUGCCUGCCCAGGCUGCUAGAUACCUGAGACUGUGAUAUGGUUUGGCUGUAAUCCCACCCAACUGUCAUCUCGAAUUGUAGCUCCCAUAAUUCCUACAUGUUGUGGGAGGAACCUGGUGGGAGAUAAUUGAAUCAUGGGGGACGGUUUCCCCCAUACUGUCCUUGUGGUAGUGAAUAAGUCUCACAAGAUCUGACGGUUUUAUAAGGGGUUCCCCCUUUCACUUGGCUCUCAUUUUCUCUCUUGCAGCCGCCAUGUAGGAAGUGCCUUUAGCCUUCUGCCAUGAUUGUGAGGCCUCCCCAGCCAUGUGCAACUACUGGGAAAGUGAGGUGCAGAGGUAUUUUGCAACGUGCCCACAGAACCCCAGCGAGCCCGUGUUGGAGUUACAACUGUGCCUCAGGGAGCAUUCUCAGGCAGCAUUCUCUUAUGCUUCACCGUCUCACAGAUGAUAAGGUUUCAUUCAAGGACUUACAACAGCAACCCGGAGGGAGCAUUCUCAGUGGCUGGUAGAUGCCAUUUGUACUGAGCAGGACAAUUAAGCCCAAUUCUGGAAAAAUUCUGCUUUCUCUAUUCAAUGCAUUUUAUAAAUGUCUUCACUCAGCACAUUUACCCUACUAAUUAUAUUUUGCUUUGUGAUCAUGGUAUGUCAUUUGCAUUCCUUCAGCACACACUGACUGAUGGGGAAGAGAUGUUGGGUGACCCAGGCAAGCCAAACAGGAUUAAAGCCUGCUGUCUCACCAGGUGGAUAAUCCACUUUGAACACUUGAGAGGGGAGUGUUGAGAUCACACCCCUUCCCAUGGGACAUUUUUCUGGGAAAUAAAAUCGGUGACAAACACCACGCUUGAACACUCACAUUGACUCUAGGGUGCAGGCUGAGCUCAUCUGGUGCAGGGGAGUAAUGCAGAGGCGAGGCCUGAGUCAGCGCCAGGCACAGGAAGGGGAUGCAGGAUGCACCACAGCCCAUGCCUCUUAGGAGAAAAUCUGGGCCUUCUCCAUGGCUGUGUCUCUAUUAAUUUGCUAAGGCUGCCCAAAUAAAGCACCACACAUGGGCAGCUUACAUAACAGGAAUUUAUUCUCAGUUCUGGAGGCCGGCAGUCUGAGAUCAAGGUGUCAGCACAGCUGGUUCCUUCUGAGGACUGUGCAGGAGAAUCUGUUCCAGGCCUCUCCCUGAACUUCUGGGGGUCACUGGCCAUAUUUGGCAUUCCUUGGCUUAUAGAAGCAAUACCCCAAUUUCUGCCUUCAUCCGCAUGUGGCAUUCUCCCUGUGUGCGUGUUUCUGUGUCCACAUUUUUCCUUUUUAUAAGGAUACCAGUCAUGUUGGAGGUCUACCCUACUCCUUGAUGACCUUAUCUUAACUAGUUAUAUCUGCAACAAACCUAUUUCCAAAUUAGGUCACAUUCUGAGGUCCUGGGGGUUAGGACUUUAACAUAUGAAUUUUAAGAGGACACAGUCCAACCCAUAAUAGUAACUUUGUCCCUCUCUCUCUUUUGACACAAUAAUGACCCUAUGCAGGGAUAUUUCUAGGUGGCUACUGUCUGUGUGUGUGUGGUAGGGGGACUUCUAGUACUGUUUUGGAUUACUGUUGACAGACAGCAGCCUGAGGCUAGGAAGCACUUUGGGGCCAUGACUUAGAGCAAAGCUAGUAAGUUUUCUCAGGAAUUUGAACCCAGAAUUUCAUCCCCAUGGCACUUUAAUCCAGUACAUUUAAUGGCUCAGAUGACCCUGGCCUUAUCAGCCUGGUGCUCUAAGCAGCUGACCUAACAGUGUGUGCAUGCGUGUAUGCACAUGUGUAUGUUAUGUGCAUAUAUAAGUGCAUACACAUAAUGUUGGACACAGAAAUAUCUCUGAGAACUGUCCCUUUAUCACCCUUCAGAUAAAAUUAUUCUCAGCUUGCUUAGUUGCAGUGUUUCUUACUUUGCAUCUCCUAACACUUUCAUACAUUUCUCCCGAAGUGCAUAGGCAAGGAGCUUCAACGGAAUUCAAUGUCAACCUGGUCAUCUUACCAUGAUUUCUAGGAAAAAAUGUGUGUAAUUGGUUCAUGCCCUCCUUCUGUACAGAUUACAAUUCUCCUUUUUUGGCAUGAAAACCUCCAUCUGUCUUUUGAAAGCACAUGUCACUUAUUUAUUAAAGUCCUCCCCAACUUGUUCAGGUUGAGUUUCACUAGUACCUUUCUGGAGUAUUUUAUACCUAUGUUAUAGCCCCAUAUGUUAUACUUUGGAUGUCUGUUUACCUGUCUGUAAGACUGUCUGCAUAAUUCAUGGGCCUUGUACAAAAUAAGAAUUCAGGGACUCUUGUUACAAGAAACUAUUAAGAAUUUCAAGAUGGGUCAGGCGCGGUGGCUCACGCCUGUAAUCCCAACACUUUGGGAGGCUGAGGCGGGCAGAUCACGAGGUCAGGAGUUCGAGACCAGCCUGGCCAACAUGGCGAAACCCUGUCUCUACUAAAAAUACAAAAAUGAGCUGGGCGUGGUGGUGUCUGCCUGUAAUUCCAGCUACUCAGGAGGCUGAGGCAGGAGAAUCACUUGAACCUGGGAGGUGGAGGUUGCAGUGAGCCAAGAUCGCACGGUUGCACUUCAGCCUGGGAAAUGGAAUGAGACUCCAUCUCAAAAAAAAAAAAAAAAAUUAAGAUGGAGAUAGCAGAACCAUAUAGGAAGUGUGGGGUCCUUGUAAGAGUGUGGUCCAUAAACUUGGCUUUGUCUGUCUGCCUGGUUCAUGGAUUGUGACUAUCCUCAGUUCCCCAGUGCCCAUCAUUCAACAAAUGUUAGAUGAAUAAAUGAAUCAAUAUGUGAAUGACUGUAAGAAUAAGCUUUUGAUGAAAGGCAGCCAUUUUGUAAGCAAGACAUUGCUGCUUUUAAUUGUCCGCAGAAAGCCUCACAGAAUCACUGCGGUGAGAGGAAAAAAAGUGUCUGCAUGCAA
rnacentral:lncRNA from 1 species